UACGUAGGGUGCGAGCGUUAAUCGGAAUUACUGGGCGUAAAGCGUGCGCAGGCGGUCUGUUAAGACCGAUGUGAAAUCCCCGGGCUCAACCCGGGAACUGCGUCCGAUACUGGCAGGCUUGAAUCCGGGAGAGGGAUGCGGAAUUCCAGGUGUAGCGGUGAAAUGCGUAGAUAUCUGGAGGAACACCGGUGGCGAAGGCGGCAUCCUGGACCGGUAUUGACGCUGAGGCGCGAAAGCCAGGGGAGCAAACGGG
rnacentral:rRNA from 1 species